UUAAAUCCAUCUGAAUUUCAAAUUUUGUGUUCAAUUUUAUUGUGCUGAUAGAAGUGUCAGACACUCAGACUGUUUUUCUGACAUGAGGAUAAGACCAAAUCCCCAUGCUCUGACUUUUGCACCACUGGAAUGCUGAAUUCAUAGAAUCAUAGAAUGGUUUGGGUUGGAAGGGACCUUUAUGAUCACCUAGUUCCAACCCCCCUGCUAUAGGCAGGGACUCCUUCCUCUAGACCAGUUUGCUUAAAACCCCAUCUAGCCUGGCCUUGAAUGGUUUCAGGGAGGGGACAUCAACAACCUCACCAGGCAACCUGUUCCAGUGUCUCAUCACCCUCACAGUAAAGAAUUUCUUCCUAAUAUGUAGUCCAAAUCUACCCUCUUCCAGUUUACAGCCAUUUCCCCUUGUCCUGUUGCUACAUGCCCUUAUAAGAAGUCCUUCCUGAGCUUUCCUGUACGGCCCCUUCAGGUACUGGAAGGCUGCUAUAAGGUCCAUCUGGUGCCUUCUUCAUGCUGAAGAGCCCUGUCUCUCUCAGCCUGUCCUCAUAGGGGAGGUGCUCCAGCCUUCUGUUCAUUUCCAUGGCCCUCCUCUGGACCUGCUCCACCAGCUCCAUGUCCUUGUAUUGGAGGCCCCAGAACUGGACGCAGAAUUGGUUGAGCAAACCGGGGUGGGUAGACUGAGGCAUGGACCGGCAACUGCCUUAUCCAAAGCCACAGACUGAGCCAGUACAAGCAAUGUAAAUGACAAUAAUUUCUCACUGUUACUACUGGAGGGAAAGAAAAGAACAUUAGCAGCAUUAAGAAACCCCACAGCAGUUGUUUCUCGUUUGUAGGAAGUGACUCUACGGUAUGACUGCUAGCAAAAUAAAAGAUCCAAAGGCACAUCA
rnacentral:lncRNA from 1 species